AAUGAACGUUGGCGGCGUGGAUUAGGCAUGCAAGUCGAGCGAGAAGCUUCCUUCGGGAAGUGGACAGCGGCGAAAGGGAGAGUAAUACGUAGAAAUCUGCCCCGGAGUCUGGGAUAGCGUUGGGAAACUGGCGGUAAUACCGGAUAACGUCUUCGGACCAAAGAAUUUCGCUCUGGGAUGAGUCUACGACCUAUUAGCUUGUUGGUGAGGUAACGGCUCACCAAGGCGACGAUGGGUAGCGGGUGUGAGAGCAUGAUCCGCCUCACUGGGACUGAGACACUGCCCAGACAUCUACGGAUGGCUGCAGUCGAGAAUCUUUGUCAAUGGACGAAAGUCUGAACAAGCGACGCCGCGUGCGGGAUGAAGGCCCUCGGGUUGUAAACCGCUGUCAGAGGGGAGGAAAUUUUGACUGAACCUCAGAGGAAGGACGGGCUAAGUUCGUGCCAGCCGCCGCCGUAACAC
rnacentral:rRNA from 1 species